GCCAUGUGGGGAAGCAUUCCGAGCGAAUUCGAGGAACCAAAGAACUCGUGCAAAUUGUUCUACUAGGUCCACAGCUACUAUAAAAGCUCUUGUAGACUCGUUAUGUUUAUAUCCAUAUUCCGAAUCGGCCUCGACUAAUCCAUGUCCAAGUCCGAUCUGUUCUCUACAGUUUUAAUUCGUGUUUCGGUAUGUGUGUGUUCGUCUAAUGUCUUCAGUAGCUUCUUUGCGGUUGGGUUGAGAUCAAAAUCUUCAGAGCCCAUAUACAUAACAUUACUUACUUUACUCGGCCCGCUUGGCCCAUUUUCGUCCGCUGCCGGGUCUGGCCUCCCGAUCUCAGUGACCUCCUCCGAUCAUCGGCCGGUGCAAUUUCUUCAGCUGCUGCUGCCCCUCGCUUUGUCAAUUUCCCAGCUGAAUUGGAAAGAAGUGACGACCUUGCUUCGCCCUCUGCCUCCUUUCCCAUGAAUCCAUCACCUUCAUCUCGAUCCCGCCCGAUUCCCUCCGCCUCUUCUCUUUUCAUCGUAGGCCGCCAAUUUCAUCUGCCUCUUCCAUGCUGGAUUAGAUAUUUCGCAUAUUGGAAUAUGGUUUUCGAUCCUCAACUAUGUGCGACUGGGAUGCAACGGUUUCGCAUUUCUCAUUGCUCGGUGAUGGUCGCCAAAGCUGCCAAUUGGAUUCGCGGGUGUGAUGCCAGUUGGGAAUGUGCGGAGUGAAUCAGGGAAGUUAGAUGAAGAGAGAGGACGCUGAGGUGACGAACAGGGGAGAAGAGGCAGAGGAAGGAGAGGAGCAAGCUUGCCCCUGUCGGAUAUGUUGGUUCAGUAUUGAUCGAUUUGCAAUGGCAACGGAGGAGACAAGUUUCGAUCUUUCAGUUGGGAAUGGGAGCGCAAUGGGUAGAUAGAUCAUAGAUAAGCAAUUCAAAGUACCUCCCUGAUCUCGGCUUGAAUGGAAACUUGCAACUAAUAUCACGGCGGAUCAGAUCGGAUAUUGAUUUUCAAAUGAUGGAGAUAGAAUUGUGUCUGGCAUCUCAGUUCAUAUAUCGAGUUUGCGUGAUUUGUGUAGUGUUGAGUUUGCGUGACUUGUGUGAUAAGUUGUUACUAUGAUAUAUUGAGUUGUAUUACCUGUUUUGUCAACCUCAGGUCAUAGCUAUGAUAGGAGGAGCUACGGUCCACCUGAACAGGUGGCAGCAGGCAGCCGUUGCUGUCGGGUCGGCAGUGGGCGCGCUGCUCGAUCCACGGAGGGUGGAUCUUGUAGCUGCUCUCGGAGAGACUACUGGGAAACCUGCUUUCGAAAGAGUUCUUGAGAGGAUGAAGAAUAGUCCUGAAGGCCGAGAAAGACUAAUUUCCGCAGCUGUUCCUCUGCUUUGUAUGUCUAUCGGAUCAACAUAUGCAAUAGAAAGCACACUGAGUGGUUUCGUCUACACACAGCGGAGCUAUUUGUAGCUUCUCCACUGUGUUUGGAAGGUGAUCAUUGCUGUGUUUAUGCAGCAGUUGAGGCCUCGGAACUUCUAACGAUCUGUUAUAUGCUCGACCGCUCGUUAGAAUUUUUUUUGUUCUACUAGAAAGGCCUCGUGUAAUAGCUUCUAAGGUGGGACACGCAUGGGACUUACCAGAGAACACCUUUGGUGCUUCAUAUGCUCGUUUCAUGGGAUCCCGGACCUUCUCCCCUGAUGACAGGCCACCAGUCCGAUUCAUGGACACGGACGAGCUGGCCUACGUGGCCAUGAGAGCCCGCGAGGUCCAUGACUUCUGGCACACCCUUUUUGGCCUCCCCACGAACUUGCUUGGCGAGUCGGCCCUCAAGGUCAUCGAGUUCGAGCAGAUGUACCUUCCCAUGUGCCUUCUUUCUGUCAUGGCAGGCACAGCUCGGUUUAAUGAGAAGCAGAGGACGGUUUUCUUCCGGCACUACUUCCCCUGGGCAGUUCAAGCAGGUGUUCGGUGCACCGAUCUCAUGUGCAUAUACUAUGAGCGGCACUUUCCCGAGGAUCGCGAGGAUGUCAGGAGGAGAUGGGGGAUAGUUCCUGCUCCAACCAUUCUUAAAAUAACAUCCGACUGAUCUUCCUCUCCCUGGCCUAAGAACAUCUUGGCCCCUGAAAGGAUGUACAUUGGUUUCAUAGAUAUGCUUCUUUCUUAUAAUCCACGACAGAAAUGCAAGAUUUUGUACUUCAGAGUUGUUUUCUGUUGGCAUAUGUAUUACGAAUAUCUAUCUGAUUGAGGUGCACGCAGGUAAUUUUUUAAAA